rnacentral:rRNA from 1 species
AUGGCUGGCGAGGACAUCGACCCCAAGUCCAGUACUGCUGCUGCUGCUGUCACGUAUGUGUUCUUCUUCUUUCUGUUAGAUGUCCUGCCACAGUUUCUCGUACUAGUACUUGCCCUAGAUGUGUUAGGUUCUACUCCAUACAUGCAACUAGCUCUACAGUCUGCUCUAGAUAUGCUAGGCUACAGUUCAUAUAUGCAGAUGUUAUUUACCUUCUCUCUUUCAGAACACAUGACUUGUUUUAUCUCUACUAUAUUAGUCAUGCUUUACCUAGUAUUUCUGUUAAUAAAAUCAUUUGGUAAAUUGCUCAUAUUUCCAACAAUCCAAAAACCUUAUUAUAGGCAAUUUACCCCAAGUGGUUUUGCUUCUUCCAUGAGACCUCCUAUGUUUGAGGGUAUCCACUAUAAGAGGUGGCGCGUGAGAGCAGUUUUAUGGAUUCAAACCAUGAGUUGCUAUGACGCCACGCUUGGCAGGCCUAAAGGGGAGUUUGAUGCCCAACAGGAACAAGCUUUUCAGAAAAUGGAUACUCUGUUUAAGACUGCUCUCUUGAGUGUUCUUGGUGAGAACAUAGUUGAUGCUUAUACGUGA